rnacentral:rRNA from 1 species
AGUGGCGGACGGGUGAGUAACGCGUGAGAAUCUGCCUUGGGGUCGGGGACAACCACUGGAAACGGUGGCUAAUACCGGAUAAGCCGAUUGGUGAAAGAUUUAUUGCCCGAAGAGGAGCUCGCGUCUGAUUAGCUAGUUGGUGAGGUAAGAGCUCACCAAGGCAGCGAUCAGUAGCUGGUCUGAGAGGACGAUCAGCCACACUGGGACUGAGACACGGCCCAGACUCCUACGGGAGGCAGCAGUGGGGAAUUUUCCGCAAUGGGCGAAAGCCUGACGGAGCAAGACCGCGUGAGGGAGGAAGGCUCUUGGGUUGUAAACCUCUUUUCUCAGGGAAGAAGCUCUGACGGUACCUGAGGAAUCAGCCUCGGCUAACUCCGUGCCAGCAGCCGCGGUAAUACGGAGGAUGCAAGCGUUAUCCGGAAUUAUUGGGCGUAAAGCGUCCGCAGGUGGCGAUUCAAGUCUGCUGUCAAAGCACGGGGCUUAACUCCGUAAAGGCAGUGGAAACUGAAUAGCUAGAGUGCCGUAGGGGUAGAGGGAAUUCCCGGUGUAGCGGUGAAAUGCGUAGAGAUCGGGAAGAACAUCGGUGGCGAAAGCGCUCUACUGGACGGCAACUGACACUCAGGGACGAAAGCUAGGGGAGCGAAUGGGAUUAGAUACCCC